UAUGUCUUUGGCAGGUCUCAAGACCUUGCGUCAAGAUCCUUUCAUCAUCUACAAUUACUUUGUCGACAAUGACGAAAUCAGAAGGUCAUCUCAAGAUCUAGGGAUGCUUCCUCCAUCUGCCCGUCCAUUGAGAUCGAGGUGAUAUCUCAAAGGCCAUGGCUAUGGCUAGAUUAGGUUACCAAUUGUGGUGCCGAGACCUUACAGAGAUUUGGCGGCGAGAGAAGAGAUAGAGUAAGGGAGAGAGUAUUUUCGUUUUGUAAAUAGAGAAAGCAAAGAUAGUUGUGGAUGACAUGACAGAGAUAGCAGCGAGAUGUGGAGGACUAACGGUGAUUACCGGUGGCCACAAUGGCCAGAGACGGUAGCUAAUGGUGAAGAGAGGGUUGGUUGAGUAGGAAGACUUGACGAAGAUUAUUAGACAGUGUGAUGAGUACGCUGAUAAGUGCAAAAAUUAUACGUCCAUGUUUCCUUUUUGAUUUUGUCCCCUUUUUGUGUUGGUUAACUUUGUAUCUCCAUUAAAUGACAUGGCAAUGAAUAAAGAGGUUUGAAGAGUAGGUAGGGGACACACACAGCGGCCGUAGGUGUCAGCAACAUGAACGC
rnacentral:lncRNA from 1 species